rnacentral:miRNA from 15 species
AUGACAGAAGAGAGUGAGCACGAUCAGAAUGGAAUACUUGGGUUAGACCAUCGGAGAGCAUCUCGCUGCUGCUGAUCCCGGACAGUCUGCUCGUUAUAAGAGGUGUUAUGUUGCUGAGACUGGUCUCGCUCUCUUGCAAGAAAGGGAACUGCUUUCUUUCUUCGCUGUAGCUGUGAGAAGAGUUGGCAUUCGAUGUCUUCCUAUCAAUGAGGACUGGGACUGUGGUAUCUUCUUCUCUUCUG